rnacentral:lncRNA from 1 species
CCACGUGGCGCCAUAUCAGCCUAACUACUAUUCCUUCAUAUCUAGGACAUCUCACCAUAAAAAAAAAAAAAAUUAAUAAUUCAAUCAAAUAUUAUUAUCUUGAGUGAAAUUAUCAAUAAUAUUUGGCUAUAAAUUAUAGAAACUCCCUGUAAAUAUUUAAUUUUUAUUUUUUCUUUUUAAAUUUCAAAAAUCUAUAUUUUGCUUUUCUUAAAAUUUUAAAAAUAUUUUCAAAAAAAUAUUACGUUAAUAGAGAAGGCAAAAUAACUAAAUUGUGCUUACUUCUUCUAUAAGAAAAGAUUAUUUUUAAUAUAUUUCUGUCAUUUUGAAGAGUAUUUUCGAUAUAAAUUAUAAGAAAUUGACGGAAUAAUGAUAAAACCCUGAUAGAGGGAGAGCGAAAUUCAACAACUUGAAAUGUUGAGGAAAUAAAAUAUAAAUUUUUAAAAAAUAGGAAGGAAAGAAAAAAAAAAGUAGAUACUUAUAAUAAGGAGGUUUCUAUAAUUUAGCCAUAAUAUUUUUUUAAUAU